GAUCCGCCCGCCUCGGCCUCCCAAAGUGCUGGGAUUACAUAUUUUUCUACUUUAUUCGUCAAAGAGAGGUGCCAUUUUACAUUUCCAUAUUUUACCCUGGAGGAUUUAUUUUUCACUUCUACUAAAGAGAUGCAUAAAAGUUUGUGUUGGGGAUGAGGAAUUAGCCGAGCGACGCAGAUGGCGUUCAUAAACCCCUGCUGCCACCUUGUGGUGGUGUUGAGAAGCGACAGAGAGCCCACCCCCUCCAGGCUAAGAUAAUUGAACAAGAUGCUCAUAAUAUUACCCAAGUCUUAGAAGAAGACAGACACUCCUCAGGAUAAUAAAACACAGGAGAUAUGCCAACAGCACAAGAUAUCUGAUAUAUUUUAGGUAAUCCACCUGGAGACCAGAUGACCAUAAUGGCCUUUUUCCAUCCCACCAGCCGGAUCUGAGGCUCCCUUUACCCUGUCUCCAGCAACGGGUCUGGACAAAACAGGAAAACCCACUCCAAAGGGCUAAUCCACAGACUGACAAUGCAUAGCCAGGGCCAGGGCCCAGGAAAAAGAUGAGGGGUAAAAGGGCUGACAGCAAGAGAUGGGACGGAAGAGAUCCAAGGGCAUCUCCUUCUGCUUCUGCACUGACAGAGUCAUUAUGGACUGCGAGUACAUGUGGAAGAGAUACUGAGAAGACAGAGAAAUAUGAUUGACUAUAAAGGGUGCCCCCAAGCUUGGAAUAAGGCCUACUACUCAGAAAUGGUACAUGGGGAUGAGCUGAGUAGACUAUUCCUUAACCACUCCUUUUACUCCGAAUACAAUCAUGACAAAACAACAUUUUGGUUAAUAACGGGCCACAUAUGCAAUAGUGGUCCCAUAAGAUUUUAAUACUGUUUUUGUUUCUUUGCUGCUUGUUUGUUUUUAGAGACAAGAUCUCACUCUGUUACUCAGGCUGGAAUGCAGUGAUGCGAUCAUAGCUCGCUGCAGCCUCCAACUCCUGGGCUACAGCUAUCUGCCCACCUUACCUCUCAAUAAGUAGCUAGGAUUACAGGUGCAAGCCACCAUACUCAGCUAAUUUUUAAAAAUAUUUUUGCAGAGAUGGAGUUUCACUAUGUUUCCCAGGCUGGUCUCAAAUUCCUGGCCUCAAAAGAUCCUCCUGCCUUGCCUCCCAAAGCACUGGGAUUAUAGGUAUAAGUCACUGCACCAAGGCCUAAUACUGUAUUUUUAGUGUACCUUAUUUAUGUUUAGAUACACGAAUACUUACCAUUAUGUUAUAAUUGCCUACAAUAUUCAAUACAGUAGCAUACUGUACAGGUCUGUAGCCUAGGAACAAUAGGCCACACUAUAUAGGCUAGGUGUAUAGUAGACUAGACCAUUUAGGUUUGUGCAUGUAUACCCUAUGAAGUUUGCAUGAUGAUGAAAUCACCUCAUGAUGCAUUUCUCAGAACCUAUCCCCAUUGUUAAUUAAGCAUGACUUUAGACCGAUUCUAUCACUUGAACAAUGAAGUUAAGAAUUGAUUGAAGGAAGUUUUCACUUAACCAAGGCAGAUGGAACACACAUGUUUACCUCCACCUCUUCCCAAAACCUCAUAGAAGGACACUAAAGGAAUAAGAAGGAGAAUGACAGACUACAGAUGUCAAUCAAAUUUGUGAAUAUGUAAAGCAGUUGUAUGAAUGGUACAGACUUAGCUGUGAAAGCAGAAAUCUGACUGCCUGCAGGGGAAGAGAAACUGGUAAAAAGAAACUGACUCCCAGCCCAGAAGCCUGGGAAGUUUCAGGAAUUGAGAUAAAAGCACUUGCAAAGGGAGAGGACAGGAUGGGUUAAGCAGUGCGAGUGAGUUCCUAAAAGCAGAACUCACUCCAGGAGGGCUGUCUGUAAGGGAAAACCAGGAAACUCGGAUGUUACUUGAGUGUGUGUGACAGCAUCAGAAAUGUGUAAGAGUUAUUUCAGAAUGUUUGGGGCUGAAUCAGUGAUAAUUAAUGUCUAUAAAACUCAGGAAAUAAAAAGUAAGACAAUUAUUUAAAAUGGUAUAAGUUAAGUAAAAUCAUAAUACAUGCUCUAGCUAUGAAUAGUAUUUUCAUAGUCACAAUGACAAUACAAAAUCUUCACUUGACAAAAAAAUGUGAUAUAGGUUGGGAGCAGUAGCUCAUGCCUGUAAUCCCAGCACUUUGGGAGGCCAAGGUGGGCAGAUCACCUGAGGUCAGAAGUUCCAGACCAGCCUGGCCAACAUGGUGAAACCCCAUCUCUACUAAAAACACAAAAAGUGAGCCAGGCGUGGUGGCAGGCACCUGUAGUCCUAGCUACUUGGGAGGUUGAGGCAGGAGAAUCACUUGAACUCAGGAGGUGUAGGUUGCAGUGAGCUGAGAUAGUACCACUGCAUUCCAGCGUGGGCGACAGAGUGAGACUCCGUCUCAAAAAAAAAGUGAUAACUACACUGGGAGGACGGGGAGAGGGAAUGUAUGGUGGUUUAGAAAGUAUAAUAGAAUUUCAGUCAUAAAGUCGAUAGAUGAUUUCUAAAAUUUCAAAAAUCAUAAGCAGUAGUAUAAACAUGUUGUGUAGAAAUAUCAAGAUUUUAAAAAGAGAGACAGAAGAAAAACUUAGAAGAGUUUUAAGGAUUUCUUCUGAGUGGUGAAGAUGGGAAGCAGAAACUGAGGUUCCAGGAGACUACAGUAGAGGACUGCCUACUUUCCUAUAAGUCACUCAGUAUCAUUUGUCUUUUAAAAUUAUGCACAUAUAUUGCUUUGGUCAGAAUUAAAUUACUUUUUAAAAAGGAA
rnacentral:lncRNA from 1 species